GGACCAAUAGCUCAGUGGUUUAGAGCAAGGUCACUAGUUAUGCCUAAGUCCUGGGUUCAAUCCCCAGUUGAUCUG